GCGUCAGUAGCGCAAGGGUUAGAGCACUCGCUCUGAUAGAGCGAGGUGUGAGUUCGAGUCCCGCCUGAUGCG